rnacentral:rRNA from 1 species
CAAUAGCGUAUAUUAAAGUUGUUGCAGUUAAAAAGCUCGUAGUUGAAUUUUUGCUUGCCGCCGAUGUCGGAACUUCCGUACGUUCGGCGGCGUGCAUCCUUGGGUGGAACCUGUGUGGCAUUAGGUUGUCGUGCAGGGGAUGCUCAUCGUUUACUGUGAAAAAAUUAGAGUGUUCAAAGCAGGCUUACGCCGUUGAAUAUAUUAGCAUGGAAUAAUAAGAUAGGACCUUGGUACUAUUUUGUUGGUUUGCGCACCGAGGUAAUGAUUAACAGGGACAGUUGGGGGUAUUCGUAUUCCAUUGUCAGAGGUGAAAUUCUUGGAUUUAUGAAAGACGAACUUCUGCGAAAGCAUUUGUCAAGGAUGUUUUCAUUAA